GGCCUCUUUCCAGGGUGGAGUUGGCUGCGAGUGGAGCUCCUCCGCGCAGGCUACGGCAGACUGGCUGUCUGCUGGUCACCGCCGCUUUGCAGUUGGUGGAAACCUGCGGGAUUAAGGAAUGGAUAAUUUGAGAGUAGCAGAUGAAACACCAGGGACAUCAGAUGAUUGGGCUCCAUCCAGUAUACCUACUGUGUGUAACAGGGAGCAUCUGUUACUACUACAGUAUGUCAUGAGGAUGAGUCACCAGGAAAAAAGAAAAGGCAUGUUGGAACAGCUAUAGGAUAAACAGGCUGCAUCAAAAACUGACAGAGGAAUGAUCUGAAUCAACUGAGUUCACAAUUAUCACUGUAGCAGAGUCAUCAGUAAAGAAGUCUAAGCUUUAUCCACUCUAAUAAUGUGUGCUUACAGCAUUGACUUAAAAUACAACUGGGAGAAUGCCUGGAUGGCUCAGCCAGUUAAGCCGCUGCCUUCAGCUCAGGUCAUGAUCCUACCCUCCUGGGAUCCAGUCCCACAUCGGGCUCCUUGCUCAGUGGGGAGCCUGCUUCUCCCUCUACCUGCAGCUCUCCCUGUUUGUGUGCUCUCUCUCUCUCUGACAAAUAAAGAAAUGAAAUCUUAAAAAAGAAAGAAAUUCUUUGGUUAGUUCAACAUUCAGGUACCACAACUA